AAAAGUGCGUAUAAAUGUGUAUGAACAUUUACUAAAGAAAAUAAGCAUCCACAUACCCAAAGGGGAGGAAAGAAUUCUCAGUCACUGCCCCCUCGAUAGAGCAGACUCAGGACCUGUCCUGGAGUCUCCCCUCCUGCAGAGGGGACACCCCCAUGCAGCGAGUCUCCCCACAGCACCCCCUCCCUCCCGCUGGGAAGGCUGGGCAGGGACCCCAGCCCCGAGCAGGGCCUGACUCACCCCUGGGCAGCACCUGCGGGAAAUCCUGGGGGGCUGCCACACCAAGGGGGCAGCCACGCCGAGGGGGCAAUGCCUCUCCACCCCCGCCCCCUAGACCAUUCAGUUCAGCUGGGUCCCCAUCUCUCUCCAAAGCCUUGCCGACUCCAGACGGGCCCUCUAAGGGCCCUAAAGAGAAGAAUGCACGUCAGGAAAGGCGGACGUCAGCAGGAGGCGAUAAAACAUAAGACGCAGCUGAGGCUGCUCAGGUCUGGCCUGGACCCACGGGCCCCACCUCGACUUCCCGCCUAAGAGUGACUUGGCCUGGCCUCCGUUUAGCCGUGACAGGUCAGACAGGGGCUGGACUCGGAUCAGGGGACAGAAUAGCCUCCGGCAUCAGCGUCUGGGCAAGUCAACCAGAGGCAGAGCCAACUCCCAGCCUCCCGAAGCUGUCCUUCUCCAGCACAAGGAAAAGCAAGCUUGCCCCACAUUUCAUCCCGUGGGUGUUGAGCGGACACUCCUUGGAGCCCACUUCCCCUGCCAGCCUCCUGUGGCCGCCUCUUGGGCACAAUACUCUUAGCUGACAUCAGGCAGAGGGACCUGAGCCAGUGAGGGCCACAAGAGUUCCAGGGCACAAGCCCUGCCCCUCUGGAAUGAGUACGCUGUGUCAGGAUCCCAGGGACGCCCAGAGACGGAAUAGCGUGCCAGGCAGGGGCCUCAGAGCUGGUCCAUCAAGUAUGCUCCUCAUAUUUGGCUCCUGCAAAGUAUUUAAUUUGAAGAAACGGCUCCCCGUGAUGAAUGACUGAGUGACUGAAUGAACGAGGCGGGGAGAGAGUGAAUGGUUGACAGCCGCGUGCUUGGAAGAGCGUUGCUGGUCUAGUCCACAAGCUCUCAGUAAGUGAGUGGUGCCUUUGUGAACGGGCACCAGGGUAGGGACAGGGCUACAGAGGGGGAAAGACCCAGCCUUGCCUACCCCCCUGGGCGAGACAGCUCCGUGGUGGGGAAGACAAGUCCACCGGUGAUUAGAAAGUAUGUGACAACAGACCCCGCACCAUUUGUCGCUCGUCUGCCAGGCCUGUCGUCCCGUCUUCCCUCCACCACCCCUGGAUUUUGUGCCCACAGUCCACCACCCACGAGCCACUCCCGUGUUCCUUCCCCUUGCAACCAGGCCCCAGCCCAGCCCCAGGGGUGGGCCUGACGGAUGCCCCGAAAGCGACAGCCUCCCACUCCUUGCUGGUGAUUGGUCCAGAGGUGGGCCAACAAGGCUGGAAUAGAGGUUUCUGGGGGCUUCCGGACCAUGGGUCCUCUCUCUUCCAUGAGGUGUCCGGACUAAGAAGUGACCCUUUUCCUCUCCCCCUGGCUGUGGUCCCGCAGGGACAUGACCCUGGAGUGGCUGCAGGGGUCUCGCUCCCUGCCGGAGGGGCUGCCAGCCCACAGAGGAGGCAGAGCCACAGAGCCGUGGAGAGCCUGCGCCGAGUGCCCCCAAGGCCCUGCUCCUGGACCUGCCGCUCCGUGAGACCCGGAGCGCCCGCUGCUUCAGCCCGCUGCAGUGGGGCCCCUGCGUCUCAGGCUGAAGGCAGCCCGUGCUGCGGCCAGAAGGGGCCAUAGCAGAAGGAGUGCUUUCCUGCCUGCAGGAGGAGACGUUGGGGCAGAGUUUUAAAGGGGAAGGAAGGAAGAACAUUCCAGGUAGAUCACUCUAAAUCGUACAAAGGAAUUGGCCCUCACAAUCACAGUGAGACAGAGCAGAGGUUCUCAUCUGGAUUGUGUCCAUGAGGAAACGGACUGAUCAGAAAAGCUCUCAGGCUGAGGAGGAGAGGUUAAGGGAUCUGCCCCUAAGAUUGCCUAGCAAGUCAAGAGUGAACUUGGCCAAGAGCCCAGACGUCUUUCCCGUCUCCUGGGUCUGCUCACCUGUGAUGCUCCAACACCUGCGAUGCUCCAACACCUGCUCCCUGCGGCUCCAGCCGAGGCUGUGCACACGCUGCGGAGUCGGAGUUCACCAGGCAGAGAGCCCUGCAGAGGGAGGCUCAGCAAAUGGGGGGCUGGGCGGGCUGCCCCUCUGCCUGACCCACUGCCCCACCUGCCUUCUCCUGGAAGCAUUUUCCUCCAACAAACAUAAUCAAGUUCAAAACAACCAUUGCAGUGAAGCCCAGCUGCCAGCCAUGGGCGCAACCACCGUUCAACAGGAUCGCGGACGAAAUUGCCCCUCUGCUUAGAGGAUGUAGGGGAGGCGCACAGGACCCAGACAGAAGGGACCCAUGUCCGGCUUAGUAUCAGUGCACCCUGGGAACCCUGCAGGGUCCUCAGAUGGGUCAGUCCAUGGAGACUGCAGGGCAUGGCACACCAAAACCUGAGCCAGUCAGCUUGGCCAGACGGACAGGCCAGGGGACCAGAUGAAGAGGCAGCUGGGAGGGCUCCGGUUUCCUGGGGCUCCACAUUCCUCAGGCCUAGUUCAAAGCCAGGCUCUGCCACUUACCAGUCAGUGUCCAUAGGCAAGUAGUUUGACCUCUCUGAAUCUUCUUCAUCAUCUGCUCAUCUCUGCUGAACAGCCUUCCGUGUGCCUGGCAUUGGGGUGGACACAGUACGUGGAGAACGUCACUCAAUCAUCAUGCAACCAUGCAAGGAAGCUAUAGAGAGGCCAAGGAAGCAGGCCGAGGCCACGGGGCUGGAAAGUCAGAGCCGUGGCACAGAGGACAACGGCUGGCCCCGGGGCCAGUGUGUGGAGCCAUGAAAGUGCGUGUCUCGCCUGUGGCACAGAGCAGGAAAAGCUACAAACACAGGCCACUUUCCUCCCACCUUUUUAUCUCCAAGACCCCAGUGCUGGGCGAGCGUCAGCACACAGGAAGUGCUCAGCAAACACUUCUGGAAUGAAGAAAUGUACUGUUUCCUCCUGCGAGCGUCGGUGCAAAUACAAACACACCUACGACAGGUGCUUUCCCAGGGACGUCUCGUUGGGUCUGAUUCUGCCCUCACUGACGUCCAAAUGUCCGCACGAAUCCGCAGGGGCUUCUCCGGAGAUUUCCAGCACAGGGCUGGGCGCAGUGCCUACCGGAAGUCGGCUCCACCGACGGGAUGACGGUGCUGGGGCCUUAAGGGUCCUGCCCUAACCAGCUCCUUGCUCCAGGCCCUGCUGACUCUUGCCCAGGGAUUAAAUCUGGAGCCUACAACAGAAGGCAGCUGUGUGAACUUGAGCAAGUCACUUGACCUCUCUGAGCCGUGGCUUCCUCAAAUGUAAGUGGUGGUAAAGAUCUCUUCUACUCAGGGGUGUGGUGUGAGACCAUGUAUGUUAAAGGGCCACCGUUCUCUUCUGUUCUCCCCUCACAACCCCUUGCCCAACAUCACCUCCAGCUUCACCUCCAAUUUAUUCCCAGUGUGGAGCCUCAGCUCACACCAGGCCAAUUUCCUGGGCUUCUCACUUGUACCAAACCAUGCUCACCCCAGGCCUUGGCCCAAAGGGAGCCUUCUGCUGCUCCAGCUACCCACAGCCCACCGAUCCUGCCGGGCCCCUAAGCUGGUCCCAGCUUGACCCCGGGAGCCACCCCUGCAAACUCUGUUCCUGGCCAUCCACCCCCUCCGGCCCCACUGCCAGGACAGCCACACGGCAGUAUAGCUGUCACUCAGACCAGCACACAGGGUCUGCGAUGCUUCUCCUGACCCCACUCGGGCACUGACUGCUGGAGGCAGGGAAGCAUUUUCCAUCUCCCACAGAAGCCCUGGGCUGUUGACUCAGCAGGCACGUUUGCUGGCCCGACACCCCGGCCCCCAACCACCACCCACGUCGGGGCGCCCUCCCUGACCGGGGCCCGUCAUCAUUAUGAAAUGAUCAUUGUUGGCGGCCUACCAUGAGUCAGGUAUUUCACAAAUACUGACUUGCUUAGUCCUCACAGCCCUGCAUGUAAGUACUUAUUAGCCCAUUUCACAGACAAGGAAACCAAGGCUCAUAGAGCUUGGUAAGUGGCCAAGAGUGCCCAGCUAGCACCCAGCAGGGUCAGCAGCAAAGCCGGGUCUGCUCGGCUCUGAUGCUUUCACUGCGCAGCCGCAGCAAUGAGGACCAGCAGGCAGAAGAC
rnacentral:lncRNA from 1 species